rnacentral:rRNA from 1 species
CGCAGCCGCGGUAAUUCCAGCUCCAAUAGCGUAUAUUAAAGUUGUUGCAGUUAAAAAGCUCGUAGUUGAAUUUCGGGAUCAAUAUAUCGGUCGUGCCUUGGUACGUACUGGUAUCAUUGGUUUCUCCUUUCUGACGAACCAUGAUGUCAUUAAUUUGGUGUUAUGGGAAGUUAGGACUGUUACUUUGAAAAAAUUAGAGUGUUUAAAGCAGGCUUUGGCUUGAAUACAUUAGCAUGGAAUAAUGAAAUAGGACGUUCGAACCUAUUUUGUUGGUUUCUAGGAUCAACGUAAUGAUUAAUAGGGAUAGUUGGGGGCAUUAGUAUUCAAUUGUCAGAGGUGAAAUUCUUGGAUUUAUUGAAGACUAACUACUGCGAAAGCAUUUGCCAAGGAUGUUUUCAUUAAUCAAGAACGAAAGUUAGGGGAUCGAAGACGAUCAGAUACCGUCGUAGUCUUAACCAUAAACUAUGCUGACUAGGGAUCGGAUGAUGUUAAUUUUUAAUGUACUCA